GCGGGAAUGGCGGAAUUGGCAGACGCGCCAGGUUGAGGGCCUGGUUGGGGUAACCUAGUGGAGGUUCAAGUCCUCUUUCCCGCA
rnacentral:tRNA from 1 species